AGUGAACGCUGGCGGUAGGCCUAACACAUGCAAGUCGAACGGCAGCACAGUAAGAGCUUGCUCUUACGGGUGGCGAGUGGCGGACGGGUGAGGAAUACAUCGGAAUCUACUUUUUCGUGGGGGAUAACGUAGGGAAACUUACGCUAAUACCGCAUACGACCUACGGGUGAAAGCAGGGGAUCUUCGGACCUUGCGCGAUUGAAUGAGCCGAUGUCGGAUUAGCUAGUUGGCGGGGUAAAGGCCCACCAAGGCGACGAUCCGUAGAUGGUCUGAGAGGAUGGUCCGCCAACCCGGAAAUGGGACCACGUCCCGGAUUCCAAGGGAGGGCGCAGUGGGGAAUAUUGGACAAAGGGCGCAAACCUGGUCCAGCCCUGCCGCGUGGGUUGAAAAGGCCUUUGGGUUGGAAAGGCCCUUUUGUUGGGAAGAAAAGGAAGCAGUUAAAACCCCGCCUGUUUGACGGUACCCAAAGAAUAAGCACCGGCUAACUUCGUG
rnacentral:rRNA from 1 species